AUACGUAGGGAGCGAGCGUUAUCCGGAUUUAUUGGGUGUAAAGCGUGCGUAGACGGGCAAUUAAGUUAGUUGUGAAAUCCCUCGGCUUAACUGAGGAACUGCAGCUAAAACUGGUUGUCUUGAGUACUGGAGGGGAAGGCGGAAUUCCUAGUGUAGCGGUGAAAUGCGUAGAUAUUAGGAAGAACACCGGUGGCGAAGGCGGCCUUCUGGACAGAAACUGACGUUGAGGCACGAAAGUGUGGGGAGCAAACAGGAUUAGAUACCCUGGUAGUCCACACCGUAAACGAUGGAUACUAGGUGUAGGGGAUGAUGAAUCUUCUGUGCCGUCGCAAACGCAAUAAGUAUCCCACCUGGGGAGUACGGCCGCAAGGUUGAAACUCAAAUGAAUUGACGGGG
rnacentral:rRNA from 1 species